rnacentral:lncRNA from 1 species
AUGAAAAAAAACAACUUCCUGCAAACCGUUUUCCUCGUCGGAGCAGCUGCUGAAGACGUUUCCUCUCUCAGUGCGUCAGUGACCAGAACAUUCCCACAGACACUCGGUGUAUCUCGCGUGCACGUGUGCGUGUUUGUCUUUUCUUUUCAUGAUUUGCUCUCCAGAUUCGUGCCCGGUCCACAAAGCUACUGCUCGUGUCUACGUGCGGGACGACGUCGCGGUGCCUUCGUGUUUGCUGUAAAAAAAAACCACCAAACCCCAACAACCUCCCGUUCCCCUUCAGCCCGCGUCUUAACGGCCGCAUAUGAAAAGAUCCGGAGCAUGAUUUAUUCCGUCUGCGCGCCGCCUUCCAUCUCAACCGCCGCCGAGGCUGAACAUCCGUGCUGCAGCUGUGUUUGGACACAAUCUUCACGCUGAGGGCGGCUGAUAAGCUUUGUGAAUGGCUUGUUUUUCACUCAAGCAUUCAGAGUGUGCCCAGCAUGUGUUGUGGCCAAUUUGUUUUUGGAAUGAAUCAAAAGAUUCAUCCCCGUGGAUGAAUGCGGAGAUGCCAAACAUUUUUUUUUUUAAUGAUAAUCUAUCCAUCAGAGUUUGAGAUUUCUUCAUCAGUAGUAACGUAUUGUUCUGAUUGUUCCAUGAAGAAAAGUAAAAAAAUAAAUAAAAAUGAAAUGAUGCAAAAAUGUGAAAUUAAUCAUUCUGUCGCGCCACCAUUUUUUGGAUGGAUUGCCACUAAAUUUGGCUUCGAGAUUCAUGUUCCCCUGAGGAUGAAUUAAUCCACUUUUCAUUUAGUUCAGUCAAACUUUUGGCCCGGUCCAAUAGCUUCAUUUACAAUCUAAUACAAACCAUCGGCUUCAGCCAUAUUUUGUAACGUAGAGGAUUUAAUUGUGAAAAUGACAUAAAUAAAAUAUCCAUUUGCUCAAUAAGGUCAUAAGACAUGAAUGACCUGAUUGGAAAAUGUGGAGGUUGUCAAUCCUGUGAACUUACUGGAAAAGCGUUUUUAAAUUCUGCACUACAGUUUACCUUGUGCCGCUGUUGUGUAAUAUCGUUAGUGCCAUUUGACCUCAAUGGGAAGUUAAUCUGUGGGAAAAGGGAACAGAAGCCAGAGCAGAUGACAAUCUGGAGCUGGAGAAAAAGAAAGAGAAACUUUUCACUUCUCUUUGACAACUCAACUCCACCUAGUUUCCUUGAAUCAUUGUGACCGAAUUUUACCUCAAAUCUGACCUGAGAUCGUGGAGACAUGCUGCAUCAGUGACGAUUAUUUUAGACCAAUCGGAGCUGAGUGUAAGUCUGAUGACACGGACAAAAUGAGCAUCCUGUUCCAGCACAAUAAAUGAGCAUCAGCGUACAAUCACUUUUUGCUCUGUUUGUAAUGCAGUCGCACGGAGACUGAUUUCUUUUUACCUCCUCAGAACCAAGGUAAGUGCAUACUUACACUCAUCUUGAUUUAGAUUAUUGAAUAUUUUGAUGUAAGUAAAUGCUUCGCAAAUUCAGUUGGAUCUACUUAUGGUUAUCGUACAUGUAUGUUCAUAUUAUUUGAGUAUAAUCACACGUAGAUAAACUUAAUUUGGUGGACGAUCCAAAGGCAAACCACAAAUGACAUUAUAUAAUCUGGUUCAAUCCUUGCAAAUGAUCCAAUGUCUCCUUUUACUUUAUUGACAUUGUUAGUAUUAAUUUAUCUAUUCAGUGCAAACUGAACUGGCAGCAAACUAACAACAAAAGAGUAACCAGAUCAUUAAGGGGGACUAAGAUUUUAAAUGUUUUAAAUACUUACUUUCAAUGUUUAAAACCAAAUACCAAUGGUUUUAA